GAUGAACGCUGGCGGCGUGCCUAAUACAUGCAAGUCGAACGGAAAGGCCUCUUCGGAGGUACUCGAGUGGCGGACGGCUGAGUAACGCGUAGGAACGUACCCCAAACUGAGGGAUAACUGCUCGAAAGAGUAGCUAAUACCGCAUGUGCUCUACGGAGUAAAGCUUCGGCGGUUUGGGAACGGCCUACGUAUGAUUAGCUAGUUGGUGAGGUAAUGGCUCACCAAGGCGACGAUCAUUAGCUGGUCUGAGAGGAUGAUCAGCCAGACUGGGACUGAGACACGGCCCAGACUCCUACGGGAGGCAGCAGUAGGGAAUUUUCCACAAUGGGGGCAACCCUGAUGGAGCAACGCCGCGUGCAGGAUGAAGGCUUUCGGGUCGUAAACUGCUUUUAUAUGUGACGAUUUUGACGGUAGCAUAUGAAUAAGGGUCGGCUAACUCCGUGCCAGCCGCCGCGGUAA
rnacentral:rRNA from 1 species